rnacentral:rRNA from 1 species
CGGCAUGCCUUACACAUGCAAGUCGAACGGCAGCAUGGAAGAGCUUGCUCUUCUGAUGGCGAGUGGCGAACGGGUGAGUAAAGCAUCGGAACGUACCGUGUAGUGGGGGAUAACGUAGCGAAAGUUACGCUAAUACCGCAUACGCACUGAGGUGGAAAGCAGGGGAUCGCAAGACCUUGCGCUAUACGAGCGGCCGAUGUCAGAUUAGCUAGUUGGUAGGGUAAAGGCCUACCAAGGCGACGAUCUGUAGCGGGUCUGAGAGGAUGAUCCGCCACACUGGGACUGAGACACGGCCCAGACUCCUACGGGAGGCAGCAUGGGGAAUAUUGGACAAUGGGCGGAAGCCUGAUCCAGCCAUGCCGCGUGUGUGAAGAAGGCCUUUUGGUUGUAAAGCACUUUAAGCGAGGAGGAGGCUACCUGGAUUAAUACUCUGGGAUAGUGGACGUUACUCGCAGAAUAAGCACCGGCUAACUCUGUG